GAGCCGAAAUUCUUAACACACAAACAUAUACCUAUAGAUAAACAAAACAUUUGACCAACUUAGUAGAUGAGAUCGAACAGUAAAUUCACCCAGUACCGCAAGGGGAAAUAAACAAGCAAUAAAAAGCAAAGAUUAGCCCUUGUACCUUUCGCAUCAUGGUCUAGCAAGUAAAUAAAGACAAGAAGAAUCAAAGCCUCCACCCCGAAACCAGAUGAGCUACUCUUAAGCAGCCUAACGGGCGCACCCUUCUCUGUAGCAAAAGAGUGGGAAGACUUAAAAGUACAAGUGAAACGCCUACCGAAUCUGGAGAUAGCUGGCUACCCCAAAAAGAAUAUAAGUUCACCACAGACUACAGACUUAUUCUCACCUGUGGAAACUAAUAGGGGUACAGCUCUAUUGAAAUAGGAUACAACCUAAAUUUGAGAGAUAACCACUAACCUAAUCCAGUAGGCCCUAAAGCAGCCACCCAAUAAAUAUCGUUAAAGAAUUAUUAUACUUCCAAACCCUAACACCAACUGAAAACUCCAAAUCAACUAAGGGUAAACCCAUAAUAAUGGGUACUAUUAUGCUAGAACUAAUAAUAAGAUAACCUCUCUUUAUGCACCUCUCUGCUAAAAUCGGACCAACCACUAGCCAUUAACAGACCUAACCAGGCAUCAAACUAAACUCUUCACAUCUUAAAACAAACUGUUACUCCAACACAGGCGCAUCAAAAAGAAAGAAACACCAUUAUAAAAGGAACUCGGCAAACAAAGACUCCAACUGUUUAACAAAAACAUAACCUUUAGACUAACCAAUAUUAAAGGCAACGCCUGCCCAGUGAACAAUUAAACGGCCGCGGUACCCUAACCGUGCAAAGGUAGCAUAAUCAUUUGUCUACUAAUUAUAGACCUGUAUGAAAGGCAAAAUGAGAGUCCAACUGUCUCUUAUAAUAAGUCAAUUAAACUGAUCUCCUAGUAAAAAAGCUAGAAUUUAACCAUAAGACCAGAAGACCCUGUGAAGCUUAAACUAAAAUAUUAAACCCCAUAACAACUACUUUCGGUUGGGGCGACCUUGGAAAAAAAAAGAACUUCCAACAACACGACCUCCCUCGCACUACACUCAGGCCACAAGCCAACUAAUGACCCAGCAAAGCUGAUAAUCGAACCAAGUUACUCCAGGGAUAACAGCGCAUCCUCUUCAGAGCCAUAUCAAAGAAGGUUUACGACCUCGAUGUUGGAUCAGGACAUCCUAAUGGUGCAGACGCUAUUAAGGGUUCGUUUGUUCAACGAUUAA
rnacentral:rRNA from 1 species